UUAAGUUCAGCGGGUAGCCCUACCUGAUUUGAGGUCAGAGUCAUAUAUAAUGGGGUUUUGAGCAGAUGUCACACCGAGCCCAGACGAAUCUUAUUACGUCUUUGCUAUUGGGGCUCUGUCCACUAAUCCAUUUGAAGCGAGUCUCAAGAGACAGACGCUCAAUUCCACAUCCUACACAGGUUGUAAAACCCAGGAGGAGU
rnacentral:misc_RNA from 1 species